UAGGAAUGAAGUAUGUGCCACUCCUACA
rnacentral:piRNA from 1 species